rfam:Salmo salar isolate Sally breed double haploid chromosome ssa15, whole genome shotgun sequence.
UGCAUUCACUACUGUAAGUCGCUCUGGAUGAGUGUGUCUGCUAAAUGACUCAAA